GAUGAACGCUGGCGGCGUGCCUAAUACAUGCAAGUCGAGCGAACAGACGAGGAGCUUGCUCCUCUGACGUUAGCGGCGGACGGGGGAGUAACACGUGGAUAACCUACCUAUAAGACUGGGAUAACUUCGGGAAACCGGAGCUAAUACCGGAUAAUAUAUUGAACCGCAUGGUUCAAUAGUGAAAGACGGUUUUGCUGUCACUUAUAGAUGGAUCCGCGCCGCAUUAGCUAGUUGGUAAGGUAACGGCUUACCAAGGCAACGAUGCGUAGCCGACCUGUGAGGGUGAUCGGCCACACUGGAACUGAGACACGGUCCAGACUCCUACGGGAGGCAGCAGUAGGGAAUCUUCCGCAAUGGGCGAAAGCCUGACGGAGCAACGCCGCGUGAGUGAUGAAGGUCUUCGGAUCGUAAAACUCUGUUAUUAGGGAAGAACAAAUGUGUAAGUAACUAUGCACGUCUUGACGGUACCUAAUCAGAAAGCCACGGCUAACUACGUG
rnacentral:rRNA from 1 species